CGUUGGAUUAUCACUUAUUCCAUCAAUAGAUAGAAUUUUUUUUAAUUCUAAUUCUUUUAAAUUUUUUGUUGGAAUCUAGACACGAGGUUGAAUAUUAAGUAUGAAUCAUAGUUCAAAUAUUUCUUAAUCUAGUUCAUAUAUUCUGUGUUCGAGAUACUAGAAUAAAUUUUUGACGAAGUAGAAACAUCUCUAUCAAGAUAAGAGACACAUUCUCUAUACUAUCAAUAGGAUCAAUUAUAACAAGUCACACACUCAUAUUCCAAAAAUACAGAAAGAAAUAAAUUCCACGAUCGAACUACUGAAAUAUAAUAGGCUAAAAUUUCGAGCUCUAGCUGAUUUUUUUUAAUUCAAAAGGCAGGACUUUGCGGUUCUUAUAGAUUUAAUUCAUUGAAAUUCCAUCCAAUAAAAUAGAAGAAUUAUAAAUCUCCAAAAAAAAUAGAUAGAAAUAUUGUAAAUAGAGCCAUUGCGACACCCAUCAAAGGAGUCGUUCCCCAAUCGGGAGCUACUUUACCAUAUUCCAAAUUCAAUGGUUUUAAUAAACUUCCUACAGUAGUUCGUCUUGGACUAGAUCUAGAAUUGUUCUCUACAAUUUGUGUAGCCAUAAAUCCUAUUGUAUUCAUUGAGAUCUGUUGACUUUGUAUGCCAUUCUGUUGUAAAUAAACGAUCUUAUCAUAGAUCAAUUGCGAUCUUGAAAUUAUAAAAUCAUAAUGGAAACAAUAACCCUAGUCACCAUCUUUAUAUCUAGUUUACUUGUCAGUUUUAUUGGGUACGCCUUAUAUACCACUUUUGGGUAACCUUUUCAACAACUAAGAGAUCCAUUCGAGGAACAUGGGGACUAGUUGAAGUAAUGAGCCUCCCAAUAUGGAGAGGCUCAUUACUUCAAUUCAGAUCAUCUUUUUAGUUGAAACUUUAAGCGGUUCUCAAAAAAAGAUAGCGAAACAAAUUAUCCCUAGAGUCGAGACUAAGAGGAAUGUAUAAACUAAUGCUUCCACAGAUUCAAUCGUGGUUUACAAUUAUGGAAUCUAAAAAGGGAAAAAAGAGGAAAAAAAAAUGGGGGAUUAGUCACAGAUAUUUAAUUGUAUCUCUAAUCUUCUUCAUUCCUUCCCAUGUCAAUAACUAGAAUGAAAAAAAGGGAAAUGUCAACACAUCCGAGAAAAAAACGAUUAAUCUCUAUCAAUAUACCUACUAAAGCCCUAAACCAUAGCGUACUUAGUACUGGUGCAACAGAGAGCUAUGUUUUUAGACCUCGCAUUGAAAAGCCUCCUUCUUUUAUUUAUUGUAAUACAUAACGAUAAAGCAUAUAUGAUCAGCUAGAUAAGUAGUUAAGGACCACUUAUAGUUGUACAUGGAAUCCCUAAUUCAAAUUGAAAUGUACAAUGAUCCAUCAGAUUUUCUUUUUCUUAAAACAGAAAAAAAGAUCUCCUAGUAGCGAGUAUUUCCGAAAAGUAGUCUUUUUUUUUGCAAUGGGUUCUAUAUUUCGUAUAUAUAUAAUAAGUUUUUUACUUUUCUUAUUAUUAUAUGUUAAAUGAAACCAAAAAUAUGAAAUGGGCAGAAAAUAUGUGUACAUCAAUGGAACGACUAAG
rnacentral:lncRNA from 1 species